rnacentral:rRNA from 1 species
CCUACGGGAGGCAGCAGUGGGGAAUAUUGCACAAUGGGGGAAACCCUGAUGCAGCGACGCCGCGUGAGUGAAGAAGUAUUUCGGUAUGUAAAGCUCUAUCAGCAGGGAAAAAAAUGACGGUACCUGAGUAAGAAGCCCCGGCUAACUACGUGCCAGCAGCCGCGGUAAUACGUAGGGGGCCAGCGUUAUCCGGAUUUACUGGGUGUAAAGGGAGCGUAGACGGCAGCGCAAGUCUGGAGUGAAAGGCGGGGGCUCAACCCUCGAACUGCUAUGGAAACUGUACGGCUGGAGUGCAGGAGAGGUAAGCGGAAUUCGUGGUGUAGCGGUGAAAUGCGUAGAUAUUAGGAGGAACACCAGUGGCGAAGGCGGCUUACUGGACUGUAACUGACGUUGAGGCUCGAAAGCGUGGGGAGCAAACAGGAUUAGAUACCCGGGUAGUC